rnacentral:rRNA from 1 species
CUCCGACUCCUCGCAUGGGGUGUCGGGAAAGAUUAUAUCGGUAUGGGAUGGGGUCGCGUCCUAUCAGGUAGUCGGCGGGGUAACGGCCCACCGAGCCUACGACGGGUAGCCGGCCUGAGAGGGCGACCGGCCACAUUGGGACUGAGAUACGGCCCAGACUCCUACGGGAGGCAGCAGUGGGGAAUAUUGCACAAUGGGCGCAAGCCUGAUGCAGCGACGCCGCGUGCGGGAUGACGGCCUUCGGGUUGUAAACCGCUUUUGAUCGGGAGCAAGCCUUCGGGUGAGUGUACCUUUCGAAUAAGCACCGGCUAACUACGUGCCAGCAGCCGCGGUAAUACGUAGGGUGCAAGCGUUAUCCGGAAUUAUUGGGCGUAAAGGGCUCGUAGGCGGUUCGUCGCGUCCGGUGUGAAAGUCCAUCGCUUAACGGUGGAUCUGCGCCGGGUA